rnacentral:SRP_RNA from 1 species
GCCCGGGUCCUGUGCAUCGUCAGCCUUCGAACCGUGUCAGGCCCGGAAGGGAGCAGCACUUAGGAGGAUGUGACGAGUGCCGCAGGUCACCUGGGCUCC